AUGAGGGGUCUGGCCUCACACCCAGACCUGGGUUCCACCAGGCUGGGCAUGGCCUGGACUCUGUCCCAAGCCGAACCAACAUUACACACUACCCUAGGCCAGAGCUGUCGGCCCGCGAAGCUAAGUUCAGUUUCCACAAGACCAGGCCUCAUCCCCUCGCGGGUUCGCAACCCUCUGAAAAAAAAGGGGGGGGGGGGGUGGCUGCUGCCCUGCACCCCACUGCCUUCCUUCCUCCUCCUCAUUCCCGGGGCAUCAACUGCCCAAUGCUGCUUCCUCCACAGAAGAGCGGCGAGAUCCCGUCUCCCCUGGCUUCUACCCGCCUUCCUCCUGCCACACAAACCAAGGCGCUGGGGCCCCGGGGGCCACGCAGAGCAGCGCCCUCCCAGAGGUCAAGUUCCCCUUCCCCAGAAGGCAGCGGCUGAAGGGCCGUCCUCCCCGGGGUCACCGCGGGAACCCUCAGGGCAACUGUCCCCACCACAGCUCCCCCCAGACCUAGGCUCCUCUUUAACCCUCCUCGUCCUGGCAUUGGCAUCCCCACCCCCUGGAGUCUCCUCUGCCAUUUCCCCCACUGUCCCCUGAGGCCCUGAACUGGCCGCUUCCGCCCCGCCACUGAACCCAAGGCCGCGGCCCUCCUUGUCGCUAACUCCUGACGGACAGGCCACAACUUUUGCUUUUAUAGCCGACGGCCGCAUCACUGGGGCACUGCUCAGCGGGACGAUUCCUCCACCGCCGCCGGGGAAANNNNNNNNNNCUGGCUUCUACCCGCCUUCCUCCUGCCACACAAACCAAGGCGCUGGGGCCCCGGGGGCCACGCAGAGCAGCGCCCUCCCAGAGGUCAAGUUCCCUUCCCCCAGAAGGCAGCGGCUGAAGGGCCGUCCUCCCCGGGGUCACCGCGGGAACCCUCAGGGCAACUGUCCCCACCACAGCUCCCCCAGGACCUAGCCUCCUCUUUAACCCUCCUCGUCCUGGCAUUGGAUCCCCCACCCCUGGAGGUCUCCUCUGCAAUUUCCCCCAUGUCCCCCGAAGCCCUGAACCUGGCCCUUCCGCCCCCGCCACUAACCCAAGGCCCCCGCCCCUCUUGUCGCUAACUCCUGACGGACAGGGCCACAACUUUGCCUUUUAUGGCGACGGCCGCAUCACUGGGGCAAUGCUUAACGGGACGAUUCCUCCACCGCCGCCGGGGAAAAAAGUCCCUCCCCCAGCCCUCCUAGGAGCGACCCGGGCGGGUCUCGGGGCGGCCGUCCCGCGGAUUCCCGGGUUACCCACGCCUCCCCCUCAGCAGCGCUUCGUGACCCGGGGAAAAUAUUUCUAAGUUCUAUUUGGGAUGCGAUUUCCGUGAGCGAGAAACCGGUUUCAUUCCGGGCGGGGGAGGGGCAGGGGGUGGAAGCAGCGCUCCCCGAGACGGAGCGGGGCAGCGUGGGGGAGGCCGGCUGGGGCUCGCCCUCUCGAGGGGCCCGGAGGAGACGCCGGGGUCGCCUCAGGUCACCCCGCCCCGCGCGAGUCCGAAAGAAGGGCCGGCGCGGCGUCUGGAAAAUUCCAGGCGGCGGCGGAGGGAUCUCUGCAGGGGGCGCAUCACUCCCCGCGGCGGCGGGUGGGGGCGGGGCGCGUCCGCGUGACUCCGCGGGCGGCGGCUCGGCCUCGUGAGCGCCGGUGACGUCAGCGCCCAGGCGCGCGUGGGGGGCGGGGCGGGCCCGCGCGGCGGGAGUCACGACCGUCCCCCGGAAGGAGGGGACUGUCCGCACGAUGUCCUCUGUGAAGCGCCUCCGCUUCAGAAACUGUCAUUUUGUGCUGCUAGAAAUGGCUGCGGGCAAGUUGAUCCGAACGUUGAGCCCCGUGACGUUGCUGCCUGGUGGCUCCUGGGGAAUGUGUUUAUGGUUUUGUUGUGCUCCGUGGCCGGGGGCCUGAAGGUUUGGUCUUUCAUAGCAAAACCCCCUCCUGGAAUAGGCUACUUAAUGACUUUUCGUGAUGUAUUAAGUGGAAAUAAGUAGUUGGCAAAAUAAUGAAAUCAAAGUCUUGUUUAUGGGGGAAAACUGCAGAACUGCAUGGCUGUAAGAUCAAAAGGGUGUAGAUAACCAGCUCGUUCUACGUUUGCAUUGGGAGGUGGGGGAAAAGGGAGACAAAAAAUUAACGACUGAAUUUGUCCAGGGCAGUUUACAGCCUGUGAUUGGGCCUCAGGACUCUGAGUCAUCAAACAGGACGUGGGGGCACUGCCUGCUGGCUGCUCACGUACAGCAGGCCUCCAAACUGGGUCUUUUAUUCUUUAAGAUUUUUAUUUGAGGGCGGCCCUUGGUGGGUGCCUGCAGCCUGGGGUGUGGUCCUGAGGACCCUGGAUAGAGUCCCACGCUGGGCUCCCUGCAUGGAGCCUGCUUCUCCCUCUGCCUGUGCCUCUGCCCCUCUCACUCUGUGUCUCUAUGAAUAAAUAAAUAAAAUCCUUAUUUUUAACA
rnacentral:lncRNA from 12 species